GAUGAACGCUGGCGGCGUGCUUAACACAUGCCAGUCGAACGGAAAGGCCCAAGCUUGCUUGGGUACUCGAGUGGCGAACGGGUGAGUAACACGUGGGUGAUCUGCCCUGCACUUCGGGAUAAGCCUGGGAAACUGGGUCUAAUACCGGAUAGGACCACUUCUUGGAUGUUGUGGGGGAAAGUUUUUUCGGUGUGGGAUGAGCUCGCGGCCUAUCAGCUUGUUGGUGGGGUAAUGGCCUACCAAGGCGUCGACGGGUAGCCGGCCUGAGAGGGUGUACGGCCACAUUGGGACUGAGAUACGGCCCAGACUCCCACGGGAGGCAGCAGUGGGGAAUAUUGCACAAUGGGGGCAAGCCUGAUGCAGCGACGCCGCGUGGGGGAUGACGGCCUUCGGGUUGUAAACUCCUUUCGCUAGGGACGAAGCGUUUUGUGACGGUACCUGGAGAAGAAGCACCGGCUAACUACGUG
rnacentral:rRNA from 1 species